CACGUAGGCACCAAGCGUUGUCCGGAUUUAUUGGGCGUAAAGAGCUCGUAGGCGGUUCGGUAAGUCGGGUGUGAAAACUUUGGGCUCAACCCAAAGCCUGCACUCGAUACUGCUGUGACUUGAGUCCGGUAGGGGAGUGGGGAAUUCCUGGUGUAGCGGUGGAGUGCGCAGAUAUCAGGAGGAACACCGGUGGCGAAGGCGCCACUCUGGGCCGGUACUGACGCUGAGGAGCGAAAGCGUGGGGAGCGAACAGG
rnacentral:rRNA from 1 species